UAUGGUAUGUGCCAGCCGCCGCGGUAAUACGGAGGAUCCGAGCGUUAUCCGGAUUUAUUGGGUUUAAAGGGAGCGUAGAUGGGUUGUUAAGUCAGUUGUGAAAGUUUGCGGCUCAACCGUAAAAUUGCAAUUGAUACUGGCAGUCUUGAGUACAGUUGAGGUAGGCGGAAUUCGUGGUGUAGCGGUGAAAUGCUUAGAUAUCACGAAGAACUCCGAUUGCGAAGGCAGCUUACUAACCUGUAACUGACAUUGAUGCUCGAAAGUGUGGGUAUCAAACAGG
rnacentral:rRNA from 1 species